rnacentral:rRNA from 1 species
GUGUGAGUGUUCAAGAGCGCAUGGUGGAUGCCUUGGCAUCAGGAGCCGAUGAAGGACGCGGUAAUCUGCGAUAAGCCUCGGGGAGUUGAUAAACGAACGGUGAUCCGAGGGUGUCCGAAUGGGGAAACCCCGCGGCAUGUUAUGUGUCGUGACCCGCAUCUGAAUAUAUAGGGUGUGUGGAGGGAACGUGGGGAAGUGAAACAUCUCAGUACCCACAGGAAGAGAAAACAAUUGUGAUUCCGUUAGUAGUGGCGAGCGAACGCGGACCAGCCUAAACCGUGUGUGUGUCAAGCGUGCUGGUGUUGCAUGCGCGGUGUUGUGGGGUUGCCCGUCUUUCUCCAGCAUGAGGGAGACGCGUUGUGGUGGUUGUAGUCGAACACGGUGGGAAACGUGACCGUAGUGGGUGAGAGUCCCGUAGGCGAAACAGCUGUCAGGCGUGUGUGGUGAUACCCGAGUAGCACGGGACCCGUGAAAUCCCGUGUGAAUCUGCCAGGACCACCUGGUAAGGCUAAAUACUUCCUGAUGACCGAUAGCGGAUAGUACCGUGAGGGAAUGGUGAAAAGUACCCCGGGAGGGGAGUGAAAUAGUACCUGAAACCAUGCGCUUACAAUCCGUCAGAGCCUCCUUGUUGGGGUGAUGGCGUGCCUUUUGAAGAAUGAGCCUGCGAGUUAGCGGCACGUGGCGAGGUUAACCCUUGGGGGGUAGCCGUAGCGAAAGCGAGUCCGAAUAGGGCGAUUGAGUCGCGUGUCCUAGACCCGAAGCGGAGUGAUCUAGCCAUGGGCAGGGUGAAGCGAUGGUAAGACGUCGUGGAGGCCCGCACCCACUUCAGUUGAAAAUGGAGGGGAUGACCUGUGGUUAGGGGUGAAAGGCCAAUCAAACUCUGUGAUAGCUGGUUCUCCCCGAAAUGCAUUUAGGUGCAGCGUUGUGUGUUUCUUGCCGGAGGUAGAGCUACUGGAUGGCCGAUGGGCCCCACCGGGUUACUGACGUCAGCCAAACUCCGAAUGCCGGUAAGUGUAAGCAUGGCAGUGAGACUGCGGGGGAUAAGCUUCGUAGUCGAGAGGGAAACAGCCCAGACCACCAACUAAGGCCCCUAAGCGUGUGCUCAGUGGGAAAGGAUGUGGAGUUGCGAAGACAACCAGGAGGUUGGCUUAGAAGCAGCCAUCCUUGAAAGAGUGCGUAAUAGCUCACUGGUCAAGUGAUUCCGCGCCGAUAAUGUAGCGGGGCUUAAGCACACCGCCGAAGUUGUGGCAGUACCACGCGUAUCCGAGCCGACACUCCUUGUGGGUGUUUGGUUGAGGUGUGGUAUUGGGUAGGGGAGCGUCGUGUGGCCGGUGAAGCUGCGGGGUGACCCAGUGGUGGAGGCUAUGCGAGUGAGAAUGCAGGCAUGAGUAGCGAAAGAAGGGUGAGAAACCCUUCCGCCGGAUGACCAAGGGUUCCAGGGCUAGGCUAAUCCGCCCUGGGUAAGUCGGGACCUAAGGCGAGGCCGACAGGCGUAGUCGAUGGACAACGGGUUGAUAUUCCCGUACCGGCGAAGAACCGCCCAUACCGAGGCAUGUGAUACUAACCUUCUGAUGUUCCUCCCUGACCUUCGGGUCGGGGUGUUGGAUUGAGGAAGGGACCUGAGCGUGUAGUAGGUAAACGUAUUAACAGGUGUGACGCAGGAAGGUAGCCGGGCCGCGCGAUGGUAGUCGUGGUCUAAGGUUGUAGGACUCCUGGUAGGUAAAUCCGCCGGGUUUGUGUCUGAGAGCUGAUGGGCGCCCACUUUGGUGGGUGAUCCGGUGAUCCUAUGCUGCCGAGAAAAGCAUCGACGUGAGGUUCCAGCCGCCCGUACCCUAUUACCGACUCAGGUGGUCAGGUAGAGAAUACUAAGGCGAUCGAGAUAAUCGUGGUUAAGGAACUCGGCAAAAUGCCCCCGUAACUUCGGGAGAAGGGGGGCCAUCCUGGUGAUCCAUCUUUGCGGUGGUGAGCUGGUGGUGGCCGCAGAGACCAGGGAGAAGCGACUGUUUACUAAAAACACAGGUCCGUGCGAAGACGUAAGUCGAUGUAUACGGACUGACGCCUGCCCGGUGCUGGAAGGUUAAGAGGACCUGUUAGACCACUUGUGGUCGAAGCGGAGAAUUUAAGCCCCAGUAAACGGCGGUGGUAACUAUAACCAUCCUAAGGUAGCGAAAUUCCUUGUCGGGUAAGUUCCGACCUGCACGAAUGGCGUAACGACUUCUCCACUGUCUCAACCACGAACUCGGCGAAAUUGCACUACGAGUAAAGAUGCUCGUUACGCGCAGCAGGACGGAAAGACCCCGAGACCUUCACUAUAGUUUGGUAUUGGUGUUCGGUAUGGCUUGUGUAGGAUAGGUGGGAGACUGUGAAGCAUGCACGCUAGUGUGUGUGGAGUCAUCGUUGAAAUACCACUCUGGCUAUGCUGGAUUCCUUAACUUCGGGCCCUGAUCGGGUCCAGGGACAGUGCCUGAUGGGUAGUUUAACUGGGGCGGUUGCCUCCUAAAGAGUAACGGAGGCGCCCAAAGGUUCCCUCAGCCUGGUUGGCAAUCAGGUGUCGAGUGUAAGUGCACAAGGGAGCUUGACUGUGAGACGGACGUGUCGAGCAGGAGCGAAAGCUGGGACUAGUGACCCGGCCGUGGAUUGUGGAAUCGCGGUCGCUCAACGGAUAAAAGGUACCUCGGGGAUAACAGGCUGAUCUUGCCCAAGAGUCCAUAUCGACGGCAUGGUUUGGCACCUCGAUGUCGGCUCGUCGCAUCCUGGGGCUGGAGUCGGUCCCAAGGGUUGGGCUGUUCGCCCAUUAAAGCGGUACGCGAGCUGGGUUUAGAACGUCGUGAGACAGUUCGGUCCCUAUCCGCUGCGUGCGUAGGAAAUUUGAGAAGGGCUGUCCUUAGUACGAGAGGACCGGGACGGACGAACCUCUGGUGUGCCAGUUGUACCGCCAGGUGCAUGGCUGGUUGGCUACGUUCGGGAAGGAUAACCGCUGAAAGCAUCUAAGCGGGAAGCCUGCUUCAAGAUGAGAUUUCCUUUGAGGUGCCCUGUAGACCACAGGGUUGAUAGGCCAGAUGUGGAAGCGCAGCAAUGCGUGGAGCUGACUGGUACUAAUACACCGAUCACUCAUCCAAGUACACUCCUUUCAA